AAAGACAAACAACACAAUCAGUCUGGUAUGCCUAAUUAUUCCCUUGAUUCAUGAUUAUGGUUUUGCCUCUUGAUUUAAUGUGAAGUUCCCCUCAUCCACCCUUUUCUAUCAUUCGAGAUAUACAACCCACCGUAAGGUUAGAGAUAUAUUUUCUCAAUUGGCGAUUACAAUUUAUGUCCUGUUCCAAGAAAAGAGAAGCCACUACAACCUUGAAUUCUUUAUGUUGUCAUCGUGUAUGUUUAGUAGGCAUAAAAGAAGAAAAAGGCAUUUUUCUAUGGAGAUUCAUGCUGGUGGCAUAAAUCUAACUACAACUAUAAAAGGGAAGCAGUACAACAACUCUUGUUUGAUUAAGUAUAUCCUUGAUUCAUGACUAGAGUUUUGUUAUUAAAUCGUUGAAAAUUCAAGCUAUUGUCUUUUGUGUUCGCUGACAUUAUGGUCUGUGUUUAGCAGGUACUCGAGUGAAAAAGAUUUCACCAUAGUCAGGUCCAUGGUUAUGACAAAUCACAGUUGUCUGUUACAUUACAUCGAUGUAAUCUUCACGCAAGAUCUCAACAAUGUUUGGUUGGUUACUUACACCCCACUCUAGAUUAACAUGUUCUGAAUUUUUUGUUCAAAGCUACAAUUAACACAUGCUAAAUGGUAAUUUCUUUAAAAUGAUCCAAUUGAGUUUGCAACUGCACAUGGUUUUUGCCAAGUUUCAUCAAGUACUGCUCCAACAGAACAAACAAUCAUGGAAAUUGGAAUGUUGAGCUAAGUCAUUGGGGUCUCAAGAAGAGGUCCAGGAAUCCUAAGAAUGAUAUGAUAACCAUGCUUAAAUACAGAUGGCAUAAAUUUUGCAUUGAUAACGAUGUAGGUUGGUGAUAGGUGUUUUUUCAUGUUCAUUCAUGGGCCUCACCUUUUCUGAUGUGACGAAAGAAAACUAUAUUGAUCUUGAUCUGAGCUAUACAUUGAAGGUCGAUAUAGUAAAGGAGCACUUAGACAUUGCUGCUCAUAGAUUUAG
rnacentral:lncRNA from 1 species